rnacentral:rRNA from 1 species
GUGCCUAACACAUGCAAGUCGAGCGAGAAGCUACCUAUGAUCCUUCGGGAGAUUAGACUAGUGGACAGCGGCGGACGGGUGAGUAACGCGUAAAUAACCUGCCAUAGACGCAAGGAUAGCCAUCGGAAACGGUGAUUAAUACUUGAUGAAGCUACAUAUUCGCAUGAAUGAGUAGUUAAAGAAUUUUGGUGUAUGAUGGAUUUGCGUUUGAUUAGCUAGUUGGUAAGGUAAAGGCUUACCAAGGCAAUGAUCAAUAGCCGGCCUGAGAGGGUGAACGGCCACACUGGAACUGAGACACGGUCCAGACUCCUACGGGAGGCAGCAGUGGGGAAUAUUGCACAAUGGAGGAAACUCUGAUGCAGCAACGCCGCGUGAACGAAGAAGGCUUUCGAGUCGUAAAGUUCUGUUAUAGGGGAAGAAGAAGUGACGGUACCCUAUGAGAAAGCCACGGCUAAUUACGUGCCAGCAGCCGCGGUAAUACGUAAGUGGCAAGCGUUAUCCGGAAUUACUGGGCAUAAAGCGUUCGUAGGCGGUUAAACAAGCCAAUAGUGAAAUCCACCAGCCUAACUGGUGUCAGCUAAUGGAACUGUAUAACUUGAGUACAGGAGAGGAAAGUGGAAUUCCUAGUGUAGUAGUGAAAUGCGUAGAUAUUAGGAAGAACAUCAGUAGCGAAGGCGACUUUCUGGACUGUAACUGACGCUGAGGAACGAAAGCGUGGGGAGCGAACAGGAUUAGAUACCCUGGUAGUCCACGCCGUAAACGAUGGAUACUUGGUGUUGGCCGUAAAGGUCGGUGCCGGAGCAAAUGUAUUAAGUAUCCCGCCUGGGGAGUACGGUCGCAAGGCUGAAACUCAAAAGAAUUGACGGGGACCCGCACAAGCAGCGGAGCAUGUGGUUUAAUUCGAAGCAACGCGAAGAACCUUACCAAAUCUUGACAUAUCAAAGCUAUCUGAGUAAAAUUGGAGUUCCAUUUGGACUUUGACUACAGGUGGUGCAUGGUUGUCGUCAGCUCGUGUCGUGAGAUGUUGGGUUAAGUCCCGUAACGAGCGCAACCCUUAUCUUUAGUUGCUAACAAGUAAAGUUGAGGACUCUAGAGAGACUGCCGAUGAAAAAAUCGGAGGAAGGUGGGGAUGACGUCAAAUCAUCA